rnacentral:lncRNA from 1 species
AGAGAUGGUGGAAAUCAAUACAGCAAUUGAGUGCAUAGACAGGCAGUUUCAGCAUUCAGCCCAUAUUUCUAGCUAUGAGCCGUAAAACCCAUUGGCAUCUGCAAGACCAUGGGAGUAUUAGAUUCCAUUACAAGUAUUUGUGUGAGGUGUGGACUAGCAGAUAUUUGAUGAGUUUGUGCAAAGCUAAGUUGCCAUCAAAAAUUAAGUGGUUGGUGUGCUGUAAUCUCUCACUUAUACCUGAACUGAAAAGUUGAGUGGGUGACCCUGUAGUUCACUAGUGAUUAGGUGUGUAGCUCUUUUCCUUGCUGCUUGCCAGUUUUGGGUGAACCUGAAAACGUGUGAGUAUUUGUGGUGCCAUUCUAUUAACGAUUGCAAGUUUGCUGGCUGAAUCUGAACGUGUAUUUCCUAGGCCCUGUAGAAUGGCAAGUUUUAUCGAUUUUGCUUAACAAAGUUUGAGUACGCGCAGACUUUUCGAUGGUGAUACGUACCUGCUGCUCCGUUCCCACUCAAAGAUAGUGUAGAUGAUUGGUGCUUGGUCGGCGGAGAUGUGCCGGUCCCUGUGAAGGAUAGCAGGGAAGAUGGUCCCUGUGCUUGUGUCUGCUGAUUGAAGGAGGGGGUUCACUGCUGUCUGAACUGAACUGAACUGAAAUAUGCCAGAAAAACAGAGGUGCUCUGUAGUAGGUAGGUGUCAGAAAU